rnacentral:tRNA from 1 species
ACAAUUAGCUCAGUUGGUUAGAGCGCUGCAUUCACAUUGCAGAGGUCGAAGGUUCGAGUCCUUCAUUGU